rnacentral:rRNA from 1 species
GCAGCCAUCAUUUAAAGAAAGCGUAAUAGCUCACUGAUCGAGUCGUCCUGCGCGGAAGAUGUACCGGGGCUAAAUUGGUAACCGAAGCUGCGGAUGCAUGCUUGCAUGCAUGGUAGAGGAGCGUUCUGUAAGCCGUUGAAGGUGAACCGAGAGGUUUGCUGGAGGUAUCAGAAGUGCGAAUGCUGACAUGAGUAGCGAUAAAGAGUGUGAAAGGCACUCUCGCCGAAAGCCCAAGGUUUCCUGUGCAACGCUAAUCGGCGCAGGGUGAGUCGGCCCCUAAGGCGAGGGUGAAAACCGUAGCUGAUGGGAAGCAGGUUAAUAUUCCUGCACCAUUGUUCAAUGCGAUGGGGGGACGAAGAAGGUUAGCUCAGCCGGGUGUUGGAUGUCCUGGUUUAAGCAUGUAGCCGUGCCUGGUAGGCAAAUCCGCCGGGCUUAGGUGAGGUGUGAUGACGAGAGGGCUUGCCCUCGAAGUGAGUGAUACCCAGCUUCCAAGAAAAGCCUCUAAGCUUCAGUUGAACAAGACCGUACCGCAAACCGACACUGGUGCGCGUGCUGAAUAUGCUCAGGCGCUUGAGAGAACUCAGGAGAAGGAACUCGGCAAAUUGAUACCGUAACUUCGGGAGAAGGUAUGCCGCUAGUAGGUGAAGGAGUACAUCCGGAGCCAAACGCGGUCUCAGAGAAUCGGUGGCUGCGACUGUUUAUCAAAAACACAGCACUCUGCAAACACGAAAGUGGACGUAUAGGGUGUGACGCCUGCCCGGUGCCGGAAGGUUAAGUGAUGGGGUGCAAGCUCUUGAUCGAAGUCCCAGUAAACGGCGGCCGUAACAAUAACGGUCCUAAGGUAGCGAAAUUCCUUGUCGGGUA